CUCUGAGAAGGAGACUCCAUCGGGCC
rnacentral:piRNA from 1 species